GAUGAACGCUGGCGGCGUGCCUAAUACAUGCAAGUCGAGCGAACGGACGAGAAGCUUGCUUUUCUGAUGUUAGCGGCGGACGGGUGAGUAACACGUGGAUAACCUACCUAUAAGACUGGGAUAACUUCGGGAAACCGGAGCUAAUACCGGAUAAUAUUUUGAACCGCAUGGUUCAAAAGUGAAAGACGGUCUUGCUGUCACUUAUAGAUGGAUCCGCGCUGCAUUAGCUAGUUGGUAAGGUAACGGCUUACCAAGGCAACGAUGCAUAGCCGACCUGAGAGGGUGAUCGUCCACACUGGAACUGAGACACGGUCCAGACUCCUACGGUAGGCAGCAGUAGGGAAUCUUCCGCAAUGGGCGAAAGCCUGACGGAGCAACGCCGCGUGAGUGAUGAAGGUCUUCGGAUCGUAAAACUCUGUUAUUAGGGAAGAACAUAUGUGUAAGUAACUGUGCACAUCUUGACGGUACCUAAUCAGAAAGCCACGGCUAACUACGUG
rnacentral:rRNA from 1 species